GGGUUGUGAGGUUAAGCGACUAAGCUUACACGGUGGAUGCCCUGGCAGUCAGAGGCGAUGAAGGACGUGCUAAUCUGCGAUAAGCGUCGGUAAGGUGAUAUGAAC
rnacentral:rRNA from 1 species